UCCCACACUAUAUAAAGCAACCGACAGCGCAUUAUCAAUCUCUUCAAUUCCAGCUAAGUCACAGCGACGGUCCAUUAUCUUCUGAACAAACCCUAGACCUGGAUGAUGAACAAAUGGUUAUGCAGAAGGAUUACAAUGUCAAUCUGCAGCGACUUCAAAGGCCUGGAUGAGAAUGGAGCGGUGGGCAUUCUGAUGGGAGGUAAUUCAGGUGUACAACCUUUGCACAGACCAGUGGGAUUGAAAAUUAACCACGGGACAUUCUAAAGUUAUUGUGCCUAUUGGAGGUGUGAUGACCCCAUCAGCGUGGGAUUGAAUGGCUGGUAUGGAGGUACAGGUGUGCCUCAACACUGCUUGGACAUGCACCAAUCUGGGUUUUGAUGGGUAUGCCUGUCGCAGUUCUUGGCAACUGGCUCUGGGUGAUGUGACCGGCACUGACAGACUACACUUCCAUGGUUAUAUGGCCUUAUUCCAGGGUUUUAAGGUCUUGGUACACCAACCAAGUUGGAUGUGGCCCCAUCUGUACACCAAGGUGUUUCUCUGGCUUGUCACUUGCUUAUUGGGACAUUUAGGAGACCUGUUCAGAAUGUGUGAAGUCGUUGGUUAACCAACUGUUCAAUUGUGUGGGACUUUGUCUCAACCUGUCCUGCAUUUCAUCAAUAAAUAUAACAAUCACAGUUAGUCAACUAAUUAGAUUCCAGCUUAACUUAGAUCUGGAGGUCUGUUGACAAAUUGCACAUAAAUGCUGAAAUCUAUCUGGGGGACUCCUUGAAGUUGAACUUAACAGGUUGAUUCUGUCAUUCAGGGCAAAGCCCCACUUUUGUGAAAUAAUUUGCCAUUAAAAUCUCUUUUCAAACAAUGUAAAGAAAGCUACAA